rnacentral:lncRNA from 1 species
UGUGGCUACAAAUGCAAUGAGUGAUCUCAGAGGUGGCUGAAUGCAGUGCUUUUCUGACUGGAAUGAUAAUGCCAACAGGAUGAUAAGAACUGAGAUGAAGCAUCCAAAAUGCCUUAUUAGCCUUUGAUGGGAUGUGAGGAGCUGCCAGGAUCUGCCUUUCAGCUGCAUUGUGUGUGGAAGUGCAGUGCUGCAGCAAUGUGGAGGGAAGGCCUAUUAGGGCUGCCUGAAGAGUUUGCAGAACGCAUGACAGAAUCCCACUUGAAAACAUUUUCUACUGCAGAAAUUGCUGUCUCAGGGGAAGGCGAAUAUGUUACUUGUGAAUACAGAAACAUUUCCAGGAAUGUGAUCUGAAGCCAUUGAUCUGCUUGAUUUUCACGGAAGGCAAAGGAGCACAAGGAAACACUGCAGAGGAAGUGGUAGCCAUUGACUGCCAAAUUCAGUCUACUUCUGAUGACUUCUUAGGACCUAACUCCUCAGCUAUUUACUUACCCCUUCAAAGUGCUGCUGUAAUAUAUAACGCAACACAGGUACCAUUGUUCCUGUAAUCUGUAGGAUAAAACUGUUUGAAAACUUCAAAAAGAACACUGAUUUAAAACAACAGUAAGAAAGCUCUCAGUCCCAGUGCACUUUGGGCAAAGAGACACGUUGAUGCAGGGUUAUUAUCACAAAGGUACUUCCUCUGCCUUUUUUUUACAAUGCAUGCCUGUGAUAUAUUGAAUUAUUCAUGCAAUUUGACUCCAGUAUAGGGCACUACAAGGUUGAAAAUUACCCUUUUACUUUGAUCUUUACAUCUUGUUCUUUGUAAUCAUGAGUGCAAAUGCRCUUGCAGAAGUACAGAGGCAGUAAGAUUCUCUGGACUAGUUUGUGACCCCUUGGAUUUCACCACUGAACUGCAACUCUCCUGUGAUCAAAGUUAGGUGCACCUACACUAAACAGCUUGCUUAACCAAGACUCUGGUUUUGCUACUGUUUGGAAACCAGUUACUUGUGCAAUAGAAACCAAUAGCAUCAUAUUGACUUCCUUGUCCCUGUUAGGGAAAUAAUUAAAAUAUAUAUCUAAAAAAUUAGACCUGAAUUAAAGUUCUGGUCUGAGGAAGGAACUAUAUAAACAGGCUCAAGUAGAAAAC